CGGGGAAUUAGGGUUCAAUUCCGGAGAGGGAGCCUGAGAAACGGCUACCACAUCUAAGGAAGGCAGCAGGCGCGCAAAUUACCCAAUUCUAACAGCAUAAGAGAGGUAGUGACAAGAAAUAACAGUACAAGGCAGUUAAAAUGCUUUGUAAUUGGAAUGAUAGAAAUUUAAAUACUUUUUAAAGUAUCAAUUGGAGGGCAAGUCUGGUGCCAGCAGCCGCGGUAAUUCCAGCUCCAAUAGCGUAUAUUAAAAUUGUUGCAGUUAAAAAGCUCGUAGUUGAAUUUUUGCUAAAAAUAACCGGUCUGCUUUUAUUAAUAAAAGUGGUAUCUUGGUGUGUUUUUAGCAAUAAUGUCCUUUGAAAUGUUUUUUACUUUAUUGUAAAAAGCAAUUUUCAGGAUUUUUACUUUGAGAAAAUUAGAGUGUUUCAAGCAGGCUAACGUUUUGAAUACUGCAGCAUGGAAUAAUAAAAUAGGAUUUUAGUUCUACGUUAUUGGUUUUAAGAACUAAAUUAAUGAUUAAUAGGAGCAGUUGGGGGCAUUUGUAUUUAACUGUCA
rnacentral:rRNA from 1 species